rfam:Nestor notabilis contig18221, whole genome shotgun sequence.
GUGCAUGCUGGACUAUAAUUUAUGAAACAGAGCCCAGGAAACAACCAAUCCCUUAGCUCCUCCUAACAAGUCCAACUAGCUAUGAAAAGCUGGAAGUGCUGCACAGAACAAUGAAGAGGAGCUAUCCCACAUAUUAAUCUGCUUAUCUAGGAUUGCCUUCUGUGGAGAGAGAGAGAAGCAUGUAAAAGGGAAGGAAAAAAAAAAAAAAAAAAGAAAGAAAGAAAAAUCACAGCUCCACUGUUGAAACAACAGAAUAAAUUUCAAUCAACACGCGAAUCUUCCAUGGCAGUCAGAUAGC